rnacentral:rRNA from 1 species
UACGUAGGUGGCAAGCGUUAAUCGGAAUUACUGGGCGUAAAGCGUGCGUAGACGGUUGCGUAAGUCAGAUGUGAAAGCCCCGGGCUCAACCUGGGAAUUGCAUUUGAGACUGCGUAGCUAGGGUGCGGAAGAGGGAAGCGGAAUUUCCGGUGUAGCGGUGAAAUGCGUAGAUAUCGGAAGGAACACCAGUGGCGAAAGCGGCUUCCUGGUCCAGCACCGACGUCAGGCACGAAAGCGUGGGGAGCAAACAGG